GGUUUUAACCCAAGUUAACCAAGGUUAGCAUGGAUUUCGACCAUUCGAAAGAAUGCGUUGAACACAAAUAAAUUUUGGACAAGCUUCUUCGGGGUUAUCCGUUGAGGCGAA
rfam:Caenorhabditis remanei strain PB4641 contig9.30, whole genome shotgun sequence.